rnacentral:tRNA from 1 species
ACCUGGGUGGUGUAAAUGGUUAACACAUUCAGCUGCUAAGUGAAACAUUGGAGGUACAAAUCCCCCCAGAGGCA